AGAACAGGGAGAACAGGGAGAACAGGGAGAACAGGGAGGAAAGGGAGAACAGGGAGAGCACGGAGAACAGGGAGAACACAGUAGAACAGGGAGGAAAGGGAGAACAGGGAGAACACAGUAGAACAGGGAGAGCACGGAGAACAGGGAGAACAGGUAAAGCAGGGAGAACACAGUAGAACAGGUAGAACAGGUAGAACACAGUAGAACAGGUAGAACAGGUAGAACAGGGAGAACACAGUAGAACAGGGAGAACAGGUAAAGCAGGGAGAACACAGUAGAACAGGGAGAACAGGGAGAACACAGUAGAACUGGACUUAUUCAGUAAAAACAGGAAUGGGUGAUGAAAUAAACCUUUUGCUGGUCGGCCCUCUUUGGACCAGGUCUAGCAGAUCUAGAUGGCCCUCUUUGG